AUUGCUUCUCAGCCUUUUGGCUAAGAUCAAGUGUAGUAUCUGUCCUUAUAAAUUUAAUAAGUGAUGUGUCUUCUAUCCAAGGAUAAUAUGCUAAAUACAUUUUUGGAGCAAGGAGAUGGAAUAGGAGCUUGCCCCAUACACUACAAGCAUUGACCUGGUAUUGCAGUAUUCCCAGGAGUGAUGCAGCUUGC